UACGUAGGGUGCAAGCGUUAAUCGGAAUUACUGGGCGUAAAGCGUGCGUAGGUGGUUCGUUAAGUCUGUCGUGAAAGCCCCGGGCUCAACCUGGGAAUGGCGAUGGAUACUGGCGGGCUAGAGUGCGGUAGAGGGUGGUGGAAUUCCCGGUGUAGCAGUGAAAUGCGUAGAUAUCGGAAGGAACAUCGAUGGCGAAGGCAGCUUUCUGGACAAAUACUGACACUGAGGCACGAAAGCGUGGGGAGCAAACAGG
rnacentral:rRNA from 1 species